rfam:Brachypodium distachyon strain Bd21 chromosome 5, whole genome shotgun sequence.
CUACUAUUUUCUCCGUCCAACAAAAGAUGUAUCAACUUUGUCACAAUUUGAAUGUAUUUAGACAUGACUUAGCGUAUAGAUGCAUUAAAAGCUAGUCAAAGUUGAGACAUCCUUUGUUGGACGGAGGAAGUACCUC